ensembl:lncRNA
CACACACACACACACUCUUACAUAAGGGCUUUAGAUAAAAACUAAUAAAAAACCUGGCAGAAGAGAAGCGAUUUGAGCCUAUUCUUUGAAUCGAUAAGAUUAGGGGGACAUCUUAGGUCAUCUGGCAGGGGGCUCUCCAGCUCUGAGCCAGAGAGGCUAUAAGAAGCUUUGCCAGAUUUUGAUCCCAUUCUUUGAACAGCGAAAAAUUCCCGUGCCAGAUGAUAAACAGUCUGAUAAACAGCGAGCAUGUGAUAAUUGUUUUGUGGAGCCAGGUCAAUUGGUGCUUUAUGAACCAGAAGUGCAAUCUUAAAGGAAUGAUGCUUUAAGGGAGCCAAUGUAGGUCCAGGCAGGAGUGAAGUGCAGUAAAGGACAAUCCACUGGGGGAAGAAGACCGGUGGGGGGGAUUUAAAUACUUUAUGCUGGAAACAGAUGCAUGUACAAAGUAAAAUAAAAUGAAAGGAGCAUGUUGCGCAGCAGAAAGUUAGGGGAGAAAGUUUCCCACACUUAUCGCCAUCAUUGCAGUGAGUUAGUGAUUUCAUCGCACUAGCGCUAUUGUUGUGACAUCAUACACCAGGGCGGAAGGAGGGGUCUUUUAUAUUCAGAGCCCGCAACAAUUCCUCGGGAUUACAUUGGAGGUUGUCAUCUUUUAAUACACUAACCGUAUCAGACUGUAGCAUCCUCAGGGUAAAGGUAAACUUCACUGUCUAGAAUAUGUGAUUUGCACGUUGGAUGAUUUACUAUGACAGGUGUCUGUGGUCAAUUCUUUGCUGCCACGCUCUCAGGAAAGAAACUUCAAAAGUUCCUUUCACGCCUCAAUGGCUCGACAACCUUCGAUUGAAGUUGAAGGGUGAAAGACCACUCCUCUCUUUUCGUGGGGCCCUCGAGGUAUUUUUCAACUCCUCUGAGAAAGACGGAGCACUGAGGAAGACUGGUUUCUAAAGGUGCUGUUGCUAUAAUUAGGUUAAUAGCCAAAGGAAGCAGUGUGAAGCCAAUUACCACCUGACUCUGCACUUUCCCUCAUCUCUAUGGAGCUUAAGUGUAUUGGUUCAGUUUCCCGGCUCUCAUCAACCAUGUCUCCAUCCCCAGCAGGAGGCGGUUUUUCAAGGAAAAAGCUCUGAUAAACCGAUGUGACUCGCACCAAACCGAAGACGAGCCGGUGAGCCUAGUGGAGCAUUUAGUAACUGUAGAGGUCGAUAUUUAGGAGCUAAAAAGGAGACUGCUGGACUACAAUUGUAGAGGUCUCAACUGUUAAAUGCAUUCAUUCGUUGUAAAUGCCACCACGUCGUGACUGUAGAAAUUCCCUCUCCAACCCUCCUCCUACUACUUCCUCUCACCUGAAGCAAACCCUAUUGGAAACAAAGCAGAAACUGACCUCAUGAGUAAGCCCCGCCCCUCUAAUAGAGAAUCUGUUCAUAUGCUACGUACGUUCGCUCUAGAUGCAGGUAUGCCAGCUCUUAUAGUGGCCUAUUUUCUGUGCUAUAUUAGCUUUAGUAGCGGGAGUUAUUUCUACAUUAUUAGAUACUUAGUUAUUGUGUUAGUGCAUUUUUGGAUUAGGCCUAAUUAUAUUUUUUGUUUGGAAUUACAAAGUGAAUAUUAUCCUUAUAUAUUCCUUGUCUUGUGUUGUCAGAUGAACCCAUUGAACUGUGAAACGAUUCGACUGGAACUCCCGCCUUUGCUCGACUGUCCUAAGCAGCCAAUGCCAUUGAGUUGGUAAUAAUCCUGGAACACGACAAUCUUAGAGAAAAAAUUGUAUUCCUUCAAGCUAAAUAUUGCACAGAGGUACAAACCAAGAUAAACUGCACCGAUAUGAAAAUCUUUAAAAUGAAAUGCACUUUCAUUUGCGUUAUAUCUAAAGUACAAUCCAUUCCAUUACUGCAACUUCACACCUGGAGAUGAAGUAAUACUCACACACACUGCAUUGUCGCACACAAAGUGAUACUUUGCAUACUUUUUCUGUUUGUGGUAUGAUGAGCUUGAUGAGACAAAAAGGUCGCUUGUGUGGGGAAAUUGGUUCCCACAAAUAAUUUACAUGUUUUGUCUAAUGUCUUUCCAUUCCAAGUUGUUCUCAGAAUUUAUUCCCUAUUUACCCCUCUCUGCGCCCACUCCACGCCUGCCUAGAAGAAGGGUCCCUCUCUGUCAGACACUUUAUGCAAUUUCUUCCAUAUUUGUGUCCCAAUGAGAUUUGCUUUCUCUUUUUUUGUCAUAAUAAUAUUGCUGGUUUGUUGUUUUCAACAUACCGGCACGGUGAUGGCCAGGGCGUGAUUAACGGGUAUUCUAAAACUUGAUCAAAUUUGACUUGCUGCAGCCUUAACAAUACAUUACAGGUCUUUAAGCUGACGCUUUUAUCCAAAGCGACUUACAUUGCAUUUUUAACCCAUGGCUUUUUACAUUUUAGCCCGGGGAGCAAUUAGCAGUUAGGUGUCUUGCUCAGAGACACCUCGACAUGGAGCAGCCGGGGCACGAACUACCAACCUUGCAGUUCCCGCCGCACCCGCUCUACCCAUGCGCCACUGUGGCCCGUUAACAGUUGGUUUAUUUAUGAAUAGGUGACUCAAUGUUGGUCCAAAUGCCUCUUCUAGUCCACUGUUGCUCUUUUAUUUUUCCCAGUAGGUGAAAGGAGGACCGAGUUUUGAAGCGGAUCGGCCCAAAGCAAAGGCAACCAGUCUGUUGUUGUUGUUGCAGCAAGGGUUUGAGCAGGAGACUGGAGACACAACAGUAGGGAAAGACAAGACGACGGGGGACCUUUGAAGUUGCCGGUGCCAUUUUAAAUAAUCAUGAAAAGAAGGGAACGAAGGAAAACACAAAGUACACGGGCCCCAUCUCAAAGACGAUGCAGGGGGAACCUGUUACUCACUUUCACUGGAGGCUGAUCGGUCUCUCUUGAAUUAUUUUUUGAUGUGUCGAUAUGAAAUGAGUAAACAAAAUUUCUGUGCAUGUAAUGGGAUCUUAAACACAUUUAUUUUGUCCCUCUUUGAACUGAAUGAGAGUUCUUUGGUUUCUUUGCCAUUUUUUGGGAAUUAAAUUUUGAGUAAAUUAAACGUAAGAUCAGAGGAAAGCCCCCGCUGUGACGACAGCGCUGGAAGUGAUAUGUAGUUAUUAAUAUAGACCACAGUGGGUAUAUUAACAAUCUACAUCCGUAUCCAGUCAGUCAUCUCAUUUCUAUGCUGCUAGAUCCUUGUUACAAUGCAUACUUGUUUCCACAGAAAAUGGACGUUCAUAGUUUAUCUUUUUAGUAUGGAUUGGAAAAACUGUUUCUAAAAAACAUACAUUUUAAAACGUUCUUUUUUCAAUGGGGUGAUGUAGAUAAACAGAGAUGAGACAUCUCAGCUCUUCACACUCAUUGAGCUGCUUACUCAAAAUCAAGCAAAAAGGAUUUUAAAGUAAUUUGUAUUCAUUUGUGUAUAUAUAUAUUAGUGUUUAGUAGCAGAAAUGUACAAAAUGUAACAGGAGAUAAGCACAAUAAACGAGGUGUGUGUGUGCAUUUGUCUGUGUAUCUGUGUCUAUUGAGCAGAUGAGUGACAAUGUCGUCACUGUGUGCUUUGUGUAAAUACUCUUUUUUUGUCUCGAUGUCGUCAGAUGGACGUCAGAUGGACGGCAGAUCCCGGCGCCUCUUCCUCUCCGUUUUUUCUCAGUCUUCAUCGUCAGACGAAUCCUCCUCUAGUUCACUGGUGCGAUCGAGCAAGUGCUCCACAGCCUCCAGGGCUCCCUUUUUAUUUCUGUUGCUCAUGUUUUUCUACAGUAAGCUGCUGUGUAGAUCUGCAGUGUAAUGUUGGUAGGACUCCCAAGCAACCCUUUUUCUAUGUAAGUCAAAUAAAAUAUUCC